AAUCAACGCUGGCGGCGUGCCUAACACAUGCAAGUCGAACGCGAAAGCCCGCAAGGGUAAGUAGAGUGGCGCACGGGUGAGUAACACGUGGACAACCUGCCUUCGAGUGGGGAAUAACCUUCCGAAAGGAGGGCUAAUACCGCAUAACACCUCGGGACACAAGUUCUGGGGUUGAAAAGAGCAAUUUGCUCGAAGAGGGGUCCGGGCCUGAUUAGCUAGUUGGUGAGGUAACGGCUCACCAAGGCUCGAUCAGUAGCCGUCCUGAGAGGGAGCACGGCCACACUGGAACUGAGACACGGUCCAGACUCCUACGGGAGGCAGCAGUGGGGAAUUUUUGGCAAUGGGCGAAAGCCUGACCAAGCAACGCCGCGUGGGUGAUGAAGUAUCUUGGUACGUAAAACCCUUCGGCAGGGACGAACCUAAUGACGGUACCUGCGGAAGAAGCCCCGGCUAACUCCGUG
rnacentral:rRNA from 1 species